UACGUAGGGGGCAAGCGUUAUCCGGAUUUACUGGGUGUAAAGGGGGCGCAGACGGCGAUGCAAGCCAGGAGUGAAAGCCCGGGGCCCAACCCCGGGACUGCUCUUGGAACUGCGUGGCUGGAGUGCAGGAGGGGCAGGCGGAAUUCCUGGUGUAGCGGCGAAAUGCGUAGAUAUCAGGAGGAACACCGGUGGCGAAGGCGGCCUGCUGGACUGCAACUGACGUUGAGGCCCGAAAGCGUGGGGAGCAAACAGG
rnacentral:rRNA from 1 species